GCAGGGCACGGUGGCGCGUGCCUGUAGUCCCAGCUACUCGGGAGGCUGAGGUGGGAGGAUCUCUUGAGUCCAGGAGUUCUGGGCUGUGGUGAGCUAUGCCGAUCGGGUGUCCGCACUAAGUUCGGCAUCAAUAUGGUGACCUUCCGGGAGUGGGGGCCACCAGGUUGCCUAAGGAGGGGUGAACUGACCCAGGUCAGAAACGGAGCAGGUCAAAACUCCCAUGCUGAUCAGUAGUGGGAUCGCAUCUGUGAAUAGCCACUGCACUCCAGCCUGGGCAACAUAGUGAGACCCCGUCUCU
rnacentral:SRP_RNA from 1 species